UUCCUCAAAUCUUUUUCAGCGAAAACCUAAUCAAUAAAAAACCAGGAAUUUCAAACAAAAAUGAUAUUAUACAAUGCUGGCUAUAUUUUACCCAACAUGGAUGCCUACGCUGGCAAUGCAUUACUUAGGGAAAAAGAUUUAGUGGAUAAAAAUUGUAUUCGUAAUUCCGACUAUUCAAACAUUAUUAAAAUAGGAUGUUGUUUAAGUAUAUUGAUAUUUUUCUGCUUGUUGACAAUUGUUUCAUUAAAUGUAUUGAAUCUCUUGCAUAUCACGCCGCUGCAGAAUGAGCAAGUUAACAUAAAAUCUAAAGAAACACAGUAUCAUAUAAUGCUACCGACACAUGCCACGAUUGAUACGACAUCAGUGCAAAACGCGAAAAAGGUGCCGUAUAUUAAAGUACCGACGACAGAAUCGGCAGUUAUGAUCCUGAUUUUGAUUUCAGGAUAUUAUAUGACACGAGAAAAUACCACAGACUCAAUGGAAUCUAACGAAAAGGACAAUACAUUUCCUGUAGCACAGAGUCUUGUAAAAGGCAGCUAUUUAAUGACAAAUGUUUAUAAAGAUAAUGAUCCUCCCUUGAAAGCCUCUGGUCGAAAUAUUUCUAAAGGUGUAAGGAUACCUACCGAAGGUUUAUACUACCUUUACGCCUGUAUACAGGUUACCUGCUAUUGUAAGUCAAAACUAAAAGCUGACGUUACCGUUUCUGAGGUAACUCAUUAUAUUCAAAUAAACUCUGGAAAUUCCAACAAAACUAUUGUGGAAAAAACAAUACAGAUUCCUAAUGAUACUGGAGUAUACAAAACGAGUAACAUUUUCGUUCCAAUUCUGCUGAAAAAACACGAUGUAGUUAGUAUGCACCUUUCUGACGAUACUUACGUUUAUAAUUCUAGAAAAUCUAAUGUUAUAGGUGUUUUCCUGAUGUCACAAUCACUUAGAACCAUUCAUUAAACGCAACUUGCAUGUAUUUUUCUUUCUUUAUCCUCGAUGUUUAUUACAUAAAAGGAAUCCUCUGCUUUCAGAUUUUCAUUUAUAUUCCUGUCUGUUCCCUUUUAAUAAACCGUUUCUGAUAUGC